GACGAACGCUGGCGGCGUGCCUAAUACAUGCAAGUCGAACGAGAGCGCCCGGUGCUUGCACUGGUCAAUCUAGUGGCGAACGGGUGAGUAACACGUGGGUAACCUGCCCAUCAGAGGGGGAUAACAUCCGGAAACGGAUGCUAAAACCGCAUAGGUCUUCGAGCCGCAUGGCUUGAAGAGGAAAAGAGGCGCAAGCUUCUGCUGAUGGAUGGACCCGCGGUGCAUUAGCUAGUUGGUGAGGUAACGGCUCACCAAGGCCGUGAUGCAUAGCCGCCCUGAGAGGGUGAUCGGCCACAUUGGGACUGAGACACGGCCCAAACUCCUACGGGAGGCAGCAGUAGGGAAUCUUCCGCAAUGGACGCAAGUCUGACGGAGCAGCGCCGCGUGAGUGAAGAGGGUGUUCGGAUCGUAAAACUCUGUUGUUAGAGAAGAACAAGUGCUAGAGUAACUGUUAGCGCCUUGACGGUAGCUAACCAGAAAGCCACGGCUAACUACGUG
rnacentral:rRNA from 1 species